GGCCAUAGUGGGUGAUAGCCCCGUAGGUGUAAUUCUUCUUAUUGUCCUUGAGUAGGGCGGAACACGUGAAAUUCUGUCUGAACAUGGGGGGACCACCCUCCAAGCCUAAAUACUCGUGCAUGACCGAUAGUGAACAAGUACCGUGAGGGAAAGGUGAAAAGCACCCCGACAAGGGGAGUGAAAUAGUCCCUGAAACCGAAUGCCUACAAACAGUAGGAGCCCGCAAGGGUGACUGCGUACCUUUUGUAUAAUGGGUCAACGACUUAGUCUAACGAGCAAGCUUAAGCCGAUAGGUGUAGGCGCAGCGAAAGCGAGUGUGAAUAGCGCGUUCAGUUCGUUGGAUUAGACCCGAAACCGAGUGAUCUAUCCAUGGGCAGGUUGAAGGUGCAGUAACAUGCACUGGAGGACCGAACCCACGCAUGUUGCAAUAUGCGGGGAUGACCUGUGGAUAGGGGUGAAAGGCCAAUCAAACUCGGAAAUAGCUGGUUCUCCGCGAAAUCUAUUUAGGUAGAGCGUCGACCGAAUACCCUCGGGGGUAAAGCACUGGAUGGGCUAUGGGGACUCACCGUCUUACUGAUCCUAACCAAACUCUGAAUACCGAGGAGUACUAGUCGGCAGACACACUACGGGUGCUAACGUCCGUAGUGGAGAGGGAAACAACCCUGACCGCCAAUUAAGGUCCCCAAGUUAUGGCUAAGUGGGAAAGGAAGUGGAAAUCCCAAAACAACCAGGAUGUUGGCUUAGAAGCAGCCAUCAUUUAAAGAAAGCGUAACAGCUCACUGGUCUAAUUAAGGGUUUCUGCGCCGAAAAUGUAACGGGGCUAAAGCCAUACACCGAAAUUGCGGGUGUGCAGUUUACUGCACGCGGUAGCGGAGCGUUCUGUAAGUCUGUGAAGGGAUACCUGUGAGGGGUCCUGGAGAUAUCAGAAGUGCGAAUGUUGACAUGAGUAACGAUAAAAGGGGUGAGAGACCCCUUCGCCGAAAGUCCAAGGUUUCCUGCUUAAAGUUAAUCUGAGCAGGGUUAGUCGGCCCCUAAGGCGAGGCAGAAAUGCGUAGUCGAUGGGAAACAGGUUAAUAUUCCUGUACCUGGUGGUAGUGACGGAUCGCGUAAGUGGUUCCCUCUUAUUGGAUUGAGGGGGCUGUGAAGUGGUUCCAGGAAAUAGCUCCACCGUUAAGACCGUACCCCAAACCGACACAGGUGGACAGGUAGAGAAUACUAAGGCGCUUGAGAGAACUAUGCUGAAGGAACUCGGCAAAUUGCAUGCGUAACUUCGGGAUAAGCAUGACCAUGUAGAACGCAAGUUUUAUGUGGUGGCACAGACCAGGGGGUGGCGACUGUUUAUCAAAAACACAGGGCUCUGCGAAGCCGCAAGGCGACGUAUAGGGUCUGACGCCUGCCCGGUGCUGGAAGGUUAAAAGGAGGAGUGCAAGCUCUGAAUUGAAGCCCCGGUAAACGGCGGCCGUAACUAUAACGGUCCUAAGGUAGCGAAAUUCCUUGUCGGGUAAGUUCCGACCUG
rnacentral:rRNA from 1 species